GACGAACGCUGGCGGCGUGCUUAACACAUGCAAGUCGAACGGUGAAGCGCCUUCCUUUUUGGUGGGUGUGGAUGAGUGGCGAGCGGGUGAGUAACACGUGAGUAACCUGCCCCCUUCUUCUGGAUAACCGCAUGAAAGUGUGGCUAAUACGGGAUAUUCUGGGUCUGUCGCAUGAUGGGUCUGGGAAAGAUAUUGUUUCGGUGGGGGAUGGGCUCGCGGCCUAUCAGCUUGUUGGUGGGGUGAUGGCCUACCAAGGCGGCGACGGGUAGCCGGCCUGAGAGGGUGGACGGUCACACUGGGACUGAGACACGGCCCAGACUCCUACGGGAGGCAGCAGUGGGGAAUAUUGCACAAUGGGCGCAAGCCUGAUGCAGCGACGCCGCGUGAGGGAUGGAGGCCUUCGGGUUGUGAACCUCUUUCGCCAGUGAAGCAGGCCUGCCUCGUUUGUGGGUGGGUUGACGGUAGCUGGAUAAGAAGCGCCGGCUAACUACGUG
rnacentral:rRNA from 1 species